rnacentral:lncRNA from 1 species
UUUUUUGUUUUUUCCUGCUGCCGCCUAUACUGCCUCUCUCCCAUAGGAAGAACACUACCUCUGGGUAGCCAGGAGCUGAGAUGCAGUCUGAAUGUUCACGGUGGCUUCUGACGUGGCAGCGUGAAUUCUCAGCUGGGCAGAGCCUAAGAGAGAUCAUUGUGGAUGUGGCUUUUAAUGAUUUGCGGGAGAAAAAGAAAAAGAAAAAGAAAAAUGACAGCCUGUGGAGACGCCGAUUGGAGAAAGCAGCAUACUGUGGUUAUUGCCAAUUUGAAAUACUGGGUUUGUGAAGCCAAGCCCUAAGGGAGUAGCCGGGUAACUGAGAAAGAGAUCGUAGAUAAAGAAAUAAAAAUGACAAGCGUAAUGGAGGCUGUGCGAAGGGACUGUCAGAGCAUCCGUUCAUGGAUGGCAAUCUUGCCAGGCAGAGAUUGAAUAAUUCAUAGAUGGAAACUACCCUGCCUUCACCUUCCCAUUUAAACCGGGCAUGAGCUGAAUCUCUAAUAAAUUUUCAAGAUAAAGUAAAA